rnacentral:rRNA from 1 species
UCAUACACGGCCCGUACCCCAAACCGACACAGGUGAUCAGGUAGAGAAUACCAAGGCGAUCGAGAGAACUGUGGUUAAGGAACUCGGCAAAAUGCCCCCGUAACUUCGGGAGAAGGGGGACCAUGCCCGGUGAACAUCUUCACGGUGGGAGCUGGGUGUGGUCGCAGAGACCAGAGAGAAGCGAGUGUUUACUAAAAACACAGGUCCGUGCGAAGACGUAAGUCGAUGUAUACGGACUGACGCCUGCCCGGUGCUGGAAGGUUAUGAGGACCGGUUAGCCGUAAGGCGAAGCUGAGAAUUUAAGCCCCAGUAAACGGCGGUGGUAACUAUAACCAUCCUAAGGUAGCGAAAUUCCUUGUCGGGUAAGUUCCGACCUGCACGAAUGGCGUAACGACUUCUCUGCUGUCUCGACCACAGACUCGGCGAAAUUGCACUACGAGUAAAGAUGCUCGUUACGCGCGGCAGGACGAAAAGACCCCGGGACCUUUACUAUAGCUUGGUAUUGGCGUUCGAUUCGGUUUGUGUAGGAUAGGUGGGAGACUGUGAAGCAUGCACGCCAGUGUGUGUGGAGUCGUUGUUGAAAUACCACUCUGAUCGUAUUGGACGUCUAACCUCGGCCCAUGAUCUGGGUUAGGGACAGUGCCUGGUGGGUAGUUUAACUGGGGCGGUUGCCUCCUAAAGAGUAACGGAGGCGCCCAAAGGUUCCCUCAGCCUGGAUGGCAAUCAGGUGUUGAGUGCAAGUGCACAAGGGAGCUUGACUGUGAGACUGACACGUCGAGCAGGGACGAAAGUCGGGACUAGUGAUCCGGCACCGGCAAGUGGAAGCGGUGUCGCUCAACGGAUAAAAGGUACCCCGGGGAUAACAGGCUGAUCUUCCCCAAGAGUCCAUAUCGACGGGAUGGUUUGGCACCUCGAUGUCGGCUCGUCGCAUCCUGGGGCUGGAGUAGGCCCCAAGGGUUGGGCUGUUCGCCCAUUAAAGCGGCACGCGAGCUGGGUUUAGAACGUCGUGAGACAGUUCGGUCUCUAUCCGCCGCGCGCGUAAGAAACUUGAGGAAGGCUGUCCCUAGUACGAGAGGACCGGGACGGACGAACCUCUGGUGUGCCAGUUGUUCCACCAGGAGCAUGGCUGGUUAGCUACGUUCGGAAGGGAUAACCGCUGAAAGCAUCUAAGCGGGAAGCCUGUUCCAAGAUGAGGUUUCUCACCACCUUGCGUGGUUAAGGCCCCCUACAGACCAUGGGGUUGAUAGGCCGGAACUGGAAGCGCAGCAAUGCGUGGAGGUGACCGGUACUAAUAGGCCGAGGGCUU